UAAUAAGGUAGCUUCAGAUUGUGCAGGAGCAAUAUUUUAUUCUCUGAUGAACUUUGCCUUAGAUGCUCCACAUGGUUCAUCUAGUGAACUACUGCAAAAUACUACAAAUAUAAUUACGAAAUGGAAAAAACUUUUGAAGUACUACCUAACCGACUUGGAUGAAGAGAUUGAAGUGAUAUUAAAAUUUGAAGAGAUAUGCCUGGAAUCUGCCAAGGAAUUCACUCCACAUUUUACUAAGAUUUUG
rnacentral:misc_RNA from 1 species